rnacentral:rRNA from 1 species
AUACGUAGGUGGCGAGCGUUAUCCGGAAUUACUGGGUGUAAAGGGUGUGUAGGCGGGAAGGCAAGUCGGGUGUGAAAAUUAUGGGCUCAACCCAUAAAGUGCGACCGAAACUGUUUUUCUUGAGGAGCGGAGAGGUAAUGAGAAUUCCCGGUGUAGCGGGGAAAUGCGCAGAGAUCGGGAGGAAUACCGGUGGCGAAGGCGAAUGACUGGAAGAUAACAGACACUGCGACACGAAAGCGUGGGGAGCAAACAGGAAUCGAUUCCCAUGUAGUCCCCGCCCUAAACGAUGAAUGCUAGGUGUAGGGGAGUCAUUUUCUGUGCCGCAGCUAACGCAAUAAGCAUUCCACCUGGGAAGUACGGCCGCAAGGUUGAAACUCAAAGGAAUUGACGGGG